rnacentral:misc_RNA from 1 species
GUGCGUGAGAGUUAGUGCGGCGGGCAGAGUACAGUUGGCCUUAAGUUGUGGUGGAAGGAGGUUGUGGCGGCUCCUGCUCCGCUCUAGCACCAAAUACACCUCCGUUUCUUUCUAUACAUCAGCCUCUACCCCAGGCAUAUAUAUUUGUGUAGUCCAGUAUAUAUAUUUAGAGCAAAUCUGGUGUGGGUAAUAGUGUGAAUUGAGGGAGUGUGAGGCGUAUUAAGUGGUCUCUACAAGGCUCAAGUGGACCCAAACAGCCUUAAAGUGUUUUAAAUCCAAAUCCGACUGGAUUAUUAUUUUUUUUUUAAGUGGGAUUACAUCUUGUGUAGAAAACCGUACCGCGAGUGGCGCUACCAGCGGAGGAGUGGCCGGGGAACUGGGCCCCACUCCAGCUACCACCUGCACCUCCCACACUACUCGUCGCUUCCACUUGCAGGGUGCAGGUAUGAUCCUCGUGGCUGUUGUGAGUGGCUUUCUGAUGUCUGGCGGGGGCCUCAUGCUAUUCUCCACACCAGACCUCAACAACUUAGUUGAACCUUCUCAUCAAGAUUACAACAGAGGCCAUGGUGGUGACCAACCGGUGCAGCCCCUGCCCUGCCUCCCCUGCUGCUGCCUCUGUCUGGAUGGUUUUCGUGACAUUGGCAGACACAAUGGAGCCGUAAGAUUACAGAGAUGUUGAGGAUUGUGUCUUCUGCAUGCGUCUCAUGGGUGUGAUUACGUACACAGCCCACAUGAACCCUACCGGCAAUGUCACCUACACACAUAAAAAGUUCAAGCGGGCCCCAAUUGAGGCCUGUGACACUGUGGAAAAGCAGCAGUUGCACCACGAAGAGAGUGGAAAGAAAGUCAAGUCAGAAGCUUCUACAAAACUUGCAAAAUCCGAAAGGGUGACUGUGGAAGUGACUCCGUCUCCUCUCAAUGGAUUCCUUUCCUCUCCAACUUCAAAUAAUUUUUCUGGAAAUACUGGUCAGUUGUCUUUGGAAUCUGAUGAUGGUAAGAAGAGGAAUACUGGGAACAGUGGUGGGAAGUACAAAUGUGAAUAUUGUGGGCUGGGAUGUGCCAAACCCUCGGUGCUGGAUAAACACAUCCGCACUCACACCAAUGAGCGGCCUUAUAGCUGCGACCAAUGUAGUGUAGCCUUUAAAACCAAAAGUAACUACCUGAAACAUACCAGAUCUCGAGCUCAUGCCCUUAGAUGUGAUGGUGGGAUUCAAGAGGGCAGUGAUGGAACAGUAGAAUCCAGUGACAACCUUGAAGUAGAGGGAGAUGAAGGUUCAAGAUGUCCCAGCCGAGAAAGUGGCCAGCAGUGCCAACCAGCUGAUUUGUCUGUGGCUGAAGUCUCCAUCGCAGAUCGUCAACCAGAUUUUACAGGUACUUCAGCUGCCUCAAGAGUGCACCCAGAAGAGUUUGGGAAAGAUCGGGGAAGUUUUAUAUACAAACCUAAAUUCCGCGUUCGUGGUCAGUAUUCCCUUCAGGAAGACAGUAUACCUAUGGGACACUCUCCUCCCAUACAAAGACAACAGUCAACCCCACCUCAGGAUGUCACCACAUUUGACUGUAAUACCAUCAUUCCUUCAACAUAUCAAAUCCAUGCUGCCUCCAACCUUAAUCACCCCAAUCCUCACUCAAGCCCUUCCAGUGUCUCCAAACAAUGCCUUCCUCCACUUGAUAUUCGGGCUGCAAAUAGGAAGGAUGAAGGAGCAGUGUCUGGUCAGCGUAAUUCAGUGGUAACCUCUCAGACUGUAAGUUCUUUAUGGAAAGGGAUGAAGUCUCCUAGUCCAGAAUUAGUAGGGCAACAUAUCACUAAACUGAUUGUUGAAAACCAAGCCAUUGUAGAAACUCAUAACCCAUUAUGGUCACGGCGUUACAAGCGCCAGUCUAGCCUUGGCUCCUCAUCAAGUGAGAGUGAUGGGUCUGGCAGUGGUAAAAGUCGGAGAUAUAGUAUCACAGAUUCAAACAUCAAAAAUUCUAAAUCUUCUGCUUCUGGUCCCCUUCCUGUAGUUUCAGGGCCUGUACAAUCACAUCCCCGAGAACGAAGUCAUUCCCUCACUGCUGAGGCUAUAAUGGUUGAAUCACGGUCUUCGUACAGCCCCAGUCUUCCACCCACCCCACACCUGCAUCUUGCUCAGCCUACAGUCAACCCAAUCAGUGCUUCCAAACCUUCCAUAUCAUCACAAGGACCUACUACCUCUUAUUCUCAGUCUGCACCAACUUUCACUGCCUCUCAUGUUACCAUGGUGGACUUUGGCAUAAUAGAUGCGUCACGCAAGAGGUGCAUCUCUGAGGGCCCUAGCAUUGUGCGAGACUUAUCAAAAAGUCGAGCGAUACCUGAUGAUCCACUUCACCGACAACAUCCACAAAAUCCUGAGGGCUCUGUUAUAAAAAACCUUCUUUUAACUGCCCGUGAUGGCAUUGUAAAUGCCAUUGAUCAAAACCUAGAACGACAAGACCGGCAAAGAAUGUCCAACCAAGUUGUUCCUGUAGGUGACAUUGGCUCUCACUUAUGUUCACAAUGCAGGAUAUCAUUUCGAAAUACUGAUGAGUUGGACUAUCAUCUGCGUCAUCAUUGUGGCCAGAGGCCAGGAGCUGGAAGUGAAAGAGGUACCCCAGAUUCUAUUAAAAGUGGCGAUGGGAGCCGAUGGCCUGGAGAGCAAGAUGUAGCUUUAGAUCUACAAAAGAAACAUGAAUAUAUGGAUCAACUUGACCGCGAACGGUCGUCAUCAAGAGGAUCAUCGGUUGGGGAAGCCUCACACAGACGCGGUUCGGAGGAGGAUUCUAAAUAUCACCGAGAAUUGUCACCUAAGGUAUAUAGAAGUAAAUCUACUACAGAUGCAGCUCCGCCUCCUACAAAAAAAAGAAAAAUGUCUGAUAUUGAUAACACGAUACAAGAGAGGUCCAUGUUUCUUUCACCAAUUUUUUCUUCUAAGGGACAAGGGGGAAGCAAGAAUGAGUCUUGCAUAAAAAUAAUGGAGGAUAUCAACAAACAAAAAUUCAAUAAUUGCCAACUCUUUGGUGGUGAAGUUCAAAUCUGUGAUGGAAAUGAAUUUAAAACAAUAAGGAUAGAUACUAGCCAACCUCCAAGCCCAGCCAUAGAUAUCUGCAUCCCACCUCAACAGUUGGGAGCCAAUAUAUCUAAAUCAGAUGUGUCUGUCCCAACAUCAGUGGUAGUUACAAUUGCUAAAUCUGGUCUCAACUCUGGCGGAACAAUGGUUCAGGUUGAAAACCAAAUAAGCACAUCAUCUACCAAAACUGUUCCAAGCUUAGUAAGCUCAUCGCUGAACCGUGAGAAGUCGGUUCUUUCACAAAGCUUACCAAAGGCAGCUCAUUCUCCUAAUGUGUACAAUACUGACAGUGGACAGUUUCCAUUUUCAUCGCCUUUUCUACAAUAUGCUCCACCUCUUCAAAUUCCCAACUUGGCUAUUCCUGGAAUUCCAACUCCCGACUUGGGAGGAUUAUCUUUUUCUGCAUACACUCCUCGUGUCUCAGGCCAAACAUUUCUCCAUGGACAGACAUCCCUCAUGCAUGGGAUUUUAGGAAAUCACAAACAAAAUACUGUUCGAUCCCCUAUAGUAUCAUCUAGGGUUUCUCCUGGAAAUUUUUCAACAACUGUGAGCAUGUCGGGAGUCUCGUCGGGUUCCUCUGGAAUUAUGCAUGGAGGGGCAAGUGAGGCUUCUGUAGGAGACAAUACUUCUGGACUACAUGCUUUUUUAGCUAAGGACAAGGAAAAGGAGCAUGUAAAGAUGCAAUCUAAGCUGCCAUCUACUGGUUAUCCUGCUCUUAUUCCUGUUGGGGAUGAGAAGGUGCCAUAUGUCCCAGGGAUCCCAGGACCAUAUUCUCAGGGCAGUGUGCUGCAACCCCCACCUCACUCCAUACAGAGAAGCCCGUUAAUAUCUCUCACUCCUCCUAUCUCGGCUCCUGUGCCCUUGAGUGCUCCUGUCUCAUCUGUUCCCUCUCUUCCAGCACUAAUAAGCACAGCCAGAGAGAGGAAUCUUACAGUUCCUAAGUCAAAAGAGAUAUCGAGAGAGCAUGCAAAAAGUCCAGUCAGGGAGCAGAGUCAGUCAUUAACGGGUGGAGUCAAAAUCCCUCAUCGGUUGUCUCCAAGAAUGUCUUCAGUUAUUGGUAAAGCUCCAGAACUUAGAGCAGUUAAUCCAGAAAUUAGAAUUCAUCCACCACAGGUAGAGCCGGUACCUCAAGAAAAGAAGACCUCCGAUAGGUUUAUGUUUCCUCAUGAAGAUUCAAAUUAUGAAAGUUGUUCAAAAGACGAAUCUUCUGACUCGGAAGAAUUCCUGCCACCCCUGAAACGUCCAAAUUUUUUGCCUUUAAAGCCACAACCAUUUAUGCCAAAAUCUUCUCUUGCUUUGAUUGGGACAACUUUAGUUAGCCCUGACACUCCACGACCUAAAAAGAGUUGCGUUCAAAUGUUGUUGAAUGGAUCAGCUUAUACAUAUUUAGGGCACAAAGUGUCUACAAAGUCAUAUUUUUGUUGUAUAUACAGACAGCAGCCGAUGUAUGUACCACAGUCAACUGAUCCGAAGCUGUCUAUGUAUUCUAACUGGCAAAUAAGAAAGCCAGCUGAAGACAAUCCUUUUAAGUUAACACCAUAUCAGGGAAUGGGACUGUAUGAGUCACGAAAGCAUGAUCAUGCAUAUACCAUUGCAAAGCCUAAAGAAUUAAAUUUAAUUCAAACGCACUCAUCUUAUUGGACAUUUAAGGAAGAAAAGGAGAAAAAUAAAGGAAAGGAAGACAAAUCAAAGGACAAAGAUUCAAAGGAUAUCAAAAUUGAAGAAUUGAACUCGAAUAUAUGCGACCAAAAUGCUAGUGACGGAAGCAGUAGUGUGUCAGUAAAACGCGAGUCUGAUGAUGAGAGUGUUGGAUCCCCGUGUAAAGUCACUGAUGAAGCAGAGGGCUCUGACAGUGGUUCAGCUAAGCGUAUUAAAAUUUUUGAAGGUGGUUUCAAGAGCAGUGAAGACUAUACGUAUGUGAGAGGACGUGGUCGAGGGAGGUAUGUGUGUGAAACCUGUGGAAUUCGCUGCAAGAAACCAUCAAUGUUGAAGAAGCACAUACGUACACACACAGACCUUCGCCCAUAUGCCUGUGGCCACUGCACUUUUAGCUUCAAGACCAAAGGAAAUCUCACAAAACAUCUACGAUCAAAGGCUCACUAUAAGCGGUGUGUGGAAAUGGGCAUUGUACCAGUCCCCACUGUGGUUGAUGAAAGUCACGUCAAUGAGGAAGCUCUUGCAUUGCAGGUAAAGAUGGAACAAGAAGGAAGACUUGGUAACCUAGAUGGUGAUGAUGAUGAAGAUGACGACGAUGAUGAUGAUGAAGGGGAUGAAGAUGAUGAUGAUGAUGAGGAUGAAUCUGUGGGAGAUAAUCCCUUUGAGAGUGCUCAUUGUUUACAGAACUAUCAAAGAGAGAGUAGUAGUCAAGAAAUAGAUGACAGAAAAGGUGAUGCCAAAGAAGUCAUAAAAGAUUGCCAUCAUGAAUCUUCCGUUGCUGUGUCAAGAUCUGGUGUAUUAGUCAUGCAAUCAACUAGUCGGAGCUCAACCGAUGCUCUCACAUUUGCUCAUGGUACCAAGGACGGUAAGCUUCAGAAAACUACAACUAGCGUCGAGUCGCCAAUUGAUUUAAGUGUGAAGAGAACACCAGUAGUAAAUUUUUCACCUGUUUUAGACAAAACCUCAUCAGCAAAGAAAUCCCCCAUCCCCAGAAGGCCUAGUUUUUUACCACUGCUGAGCAAGCCAAGCGUAACAGACAUGAGAUCUCCAGCAAACAGUUUAGCAUCUCCUGGCACCCCUUCUACACCUAUUAGAGAGCACGCUUCCGAAAUUUUAUCACCCGUGACCGAGUCGUCAUCCCUUCUUAAAUCUAUUUACAAUACAACAGAGAGAGCUUCACACGUUUCUUUUGAGAAAAAAAAUAUUGUCCCAGAUCCAACCAAGGAGAAUGGCUGUAGUAGUUCCAUGCUACAAGCAUACUUGAAAGAGUGUGCAGUGUUGGAUACUACUAUCAAGAGGCAGCAGUAUAAGGACUCCUCCACUGACACUUCACCAGAUUCACCACAUGGUAGUUUGACAACUCUUUCUGUCUCUAAUGGGUCAAGUACAAUAGCAGAAAAUGCUGAAACAACACACAAGCAAGAAAGUACAAAGAACUGUAAAAAAUCAGAUAAAGAUAGUCAAAAAGAAGGAAAAGAGGAAGAUUCAUGUGGUGGAGCGAGCGAUGAGAAGAGCUCUCGGUGUACAGCGUCUCCCUCCAGCAUUGGCAGUGUUACCAGUACUGCACUCCAGUCUACCACCUCACGGAUGCCGACGCCACCUGCUAAUCUCACCGUCAUGAAUAGUGGUGGCAUUGAUACCAAGACUGCCUUCCUUGUGCCCAGUGGAAUUGUUCCCUCAUCUCUUAACAGACUAGGGAAUGAUGAUGGAAAAUGUAAAUGCAGCAUUUGCCACAAGGAAUUCAAUCGGCAGGCGCAGCUCAGCAUACACAUGAACAUCCACUACAUGGAGAGGCCUUACCGGUGCGAGUCCUGUGCCGUCUCAUUCAGAACCAACGGGCAUCUCCAAAAGCAUAAACGAUCUGUCAGUCAUUUUAACAAGGUGAACAUGAAUAUGACUUUUGGAACUCCAAGUACAAAUAACCCACGGCCCUAUAAGUGCCACGACUGCAAAAUUGCUUUCCGAAUUCAUGGUCAUCUAGCAAAACAUCUUCGUUCAAAGAUGCAUAUAAUGAAGUUGGAGUGCCUUGGAAAACUUCCCUUCGGAACUUAUGCUGAAAUUGAACGGUCCGGCGCUAAUCUGAAUGAGAUCGAUACAACAGAUUGCGAUAAUUCCUUGGAGAGCUUACAGGCCAUGGCAUCACGCUUGUAUAAAAAGGAUCCAAGCAAAUUUGCAGCCUGGCAAAAUCAGCAGGAAAGGCAUCAUCAUCGUGAACGUACGGUUAGCAACUCGUCAACAAAUUCUGAUGACUAUCCAUUACAAGAUGAGCAAGAUGACGCCCUUGCUGGUUGUGGUAACGAUGAUGAUACAGAGGGUGAUGAAGACGAAGACAUACCGGUGCCUGGGGAAACAGGAGGCCUGGGCUUCACGGGAGCUAUGCUUGGGGCUGGUCACGGGGAGCUGCACGCGUCACACACUCGUGCAAUAUCCUCACCUAUUGAGAUUGGCUCUAUAAUCAUCAUUCCACCUUCUGUAAUUGAAUUCAGUAUGUUUAUGACAUCUGGGAUACCACUUGUGAACCUCUUUUCCCACACUACCACCUAGAUAAUGAUGAGUUAAUCCAUCAGCUGCCUGUGACGUCGUCAUCGUUGUGUGAAUGUGAGAGAGAGAAGAAGGGGGAGUGUUGCUUACCUAUAGUGACUAUAGCAACAGCUAACCCAGCCAGUAUUGCAGCCAUACACAUGCGGACUGUGUGAGGCCACAUUUCCAAGCCCUAGUCAGCUGAUGACCCACAGCCAACACCACCUGCCACCCGCAGGCAUGAUGGGUCUCAAGUCCUC